GACGAACGCUGGCGGCGUGCUUAACACAUGCAAGUCGAACGGAAAGGCCCUGCUUGCAGGGUGCUCGAGUGGCGAACGGGUGAGUAACACGUGGGUGAUCUGCCCCUUACUUUGGGAUAAGCCUGGGAAACUGGGUCUAAUACUGGAUAGGACCAUGCUGUAGGUGGUGUGGUGGAAAGAUUAGUUUCGGUAAGGGAUGAGCUCGCGGCCUAUCAGCUUGUUGGUGGGGUAAUGGCCUACCAAGGCGUCGACGGGUAGCCGGCCUGAGAGGGUGGACGGCCACAUUGGGAGUGAGAGACGGCCCAGACGCCUACGGGAGGCAGCAGUGGGGAAUAUUGCACAAUGGGCGCAAGCCUGAUGCAGCGACGCCGCGUGGGGGAUGACGGCCUUCGGGUUGUAAACUCCUUUCAGCCAUGACGAAGCCCUUGUGGUGACGGUAGUGGUAGAAGAAGCACCGGCUAACUACGUG
rnacentral:rRNA from 1 species